GCCAAGGCUCACACUCUCUCCCACCCAGAACCAUCCAGCAAAGCGACAGAGAAAGAAAGAGAGAGCGGAAGACGCAGAGCUACCGCAUGAGAAGAGCGAGCGAGCAGCCCAGCAAGUUCAACGACCGCCGCACGAGCCCGCGCCACGAUGUGGAGCACCGACUCCAACCUCGACGAGUCCGUGUCGAUGACGAUGGUUGCUACCUCCUCCUUGUCCUCCUCAUAUGCUCCCUGUAGCCGCAGACGCCCCGCCCACCCGCCGCAGAUGAAGCCGUAACCGCCAGCGCACCCAACGCCGGGUCAAGAGCGGCCCGAGGCAGAGGAGUCAGAGGCGGAGGAGGUGUGUGGGUGCGCAGUGGGAGGCGGCAUGACCACGGACGGCGCGGCCGGUGGUGCUCGCCGGGGAAGACAGGGCCCCGGACUGCGCUGGAGCAGGCGCCGGGGAUUCCGGCGUGGGGCGUGCCAGGAGCCUGACGGAGGACGACCUGGAGGAGCUCAAGGGGUGGUGCGUGGAUCUGGGAUUCGAUUUGCAGCAGCAGGCAGAGCAGCAGACCCAGCCCCCCCGGCGAGGAAGCAGAUCCACCACAACAAUGGUGCCACCGCCCCAGAACUGCCGCCGUCACGCUCGCGUCAAGUCACCGGAACCUGCACACCGGCGCCCACCGUUGCGCCCCUGCAUGCCCCGCCUUGCCCCCAACUACGCCUCCGGCCUCGCCUCUGCACAUCUCCACCUGCCAGCCUUGCCUCCGCAUCAGUCGCCAGCGUGCCGCUGCCUCGUGCGGCCUCCUCUGCUCCCAAGAUUUGGUUUAGCCGCUGCCUCGUCCGGCCUCCGUGAAAGUUGCAUGUCGAUUCUGGUUGUCUGGAGUUCCCUUCACUCCCUCUUCUCUCUUGCGGGAUUAAUUCCUUCGUUCUGUUCCCCUCGUUGCUUCAUUAUUUCUGAUGCGGCCAAAUUCGCCUGCGUAUAUAAAUUGAUUGAAUUAGAUGCAGAGGGGCGAGGUGGGACUAAAUCACGACAAGGCAGAUUGAGAAGGUUACGGUGGAGGAGGCCGGAGAGGACUCGCGGCGGCGGACAGGUCACAGCGGCGCAGCGGCUGGAAAGCGAGCAUUUGGAUUAGGGUGGAUCGCGGAUUGAAUUCUUACAAAUGUAGGGAUGUUUUUUGUAAAGAUGAAACAUUUUCUCAUAUUCACUCAAAAAAGGGACUGUGGGUUGAAUUUUGAUAAACACAAUGACUUUUGUGCAAAAGCACCGACAAUGUACGACCAGAAACGCUAGCUGCUUUAUUA
rnacentral:rRNA from 1 species